AUAUAUUACUUUUUCCCCUCCGUUCCGCGCCGUACUCCCAUCCUGAUUCCCGUGCAGGUCUUGCCAAAACGUCACCUCCGGUUGCCGUUUUGCGUCGUCAUCAUCUCCGGCUGCUGUUUGUCUUGCAAUCAUGUCAGGGCUUUAGAGGAGGUGAAUGAUUAAUGUAUUAGAGGAGGAGGUAGACAACAAAAUACAGACUAUUUCGAAAACUAAGGAAGUGGCAAAAGAGCACAAGGAGCCGUUGCCGAGGCUACAAGAGAAGGUUGAAUUUCAUGGCAGCUCUGCCCUUUCUCCUAUUUUCACUGAAAUGAAGUCCGUGAAAGAGAACUGCUGAUUUAAUUUCACCCCCAUUUUCCCUUUUAUUUGAUUUUUGAUUGCUGUUCAAUGAUUCUCCUCUUCUGUCCUUCUUGGUGAUAAGACUCCUUCAUUUUUCCACUGUUGCCCGCUCUAAGAUCGUGGACAUCUUACUUAAAUUAUGACUUCUUGUUAAUAUUCCUUAACUUGUAUGGUGUAAGAUGAUAUUUUUGACAGUUUCCAACUAAUAAAGAAGUGUUUGCAUUCCUAGAGAA